GGAGCCAGAAGCUUCUGCAAGGAUUGAAAAAUCUUAGGAAGGUCUGAGACGAGACGUUGAGAAAAGAACCCGAAAUGGUCAAUGGUUAAUGCCAUUAGCUGCUUUAACAGAAAAAAAGCAUCGCAUAGGACCUUUGGGAAUGAUUGUGCUGGUGCGUGAAAAAAGUAGCUGUCUCACUAAAAAAUAGUCAAAUGCAGAAGACAGCGAUUGUGCUGCAACAUAAUUCAGACUACUCUUUGGCUCC
rnacentral:RNase_P_RNA from 2 species